GUGUUCUUCAUCUUCGCCGGACAAAGCGUCGCGGUGCAAGCUGCGGUUUGAUACACCUCCGACUCCGGUGUCGUCGUAAAAGCGCGCCGGCGAGUCCGAUCGUAAAAAAUUCACUGCAUCUGCUUAUUGAUCGUAUCGCGAGCGGCGCGGACAGGAUUGGUCGAGCGUGGGCGCGAUUGAGCGAUCGACAAAUAUUUAACCUUUAUAAGCGCCGCGCCGUUGCAAAUCGCUUUCCCGGAUCCAUCCGCUUGGACGCUGAUGUCGUCGCAGUUGCUUCAGCCUCUGCGAUCCGCUAAUCGAUGCGAGCAAAGCUGCGGCAGCUUCAUCCCCGGCGAGCAACGGUUCCAUGUCUCGCAACUUUGACAUCGAGCUGAUCCUUCGGAGGGACAGGAGAACUUUGCUCUUAGAGACUUUUCAGUUCUUUUCGUUGCGGCACGAAGACCGUGUGAACAUCGCGGUGUAAUAGGAAGAAGAAUGUGUGAAGUGCACAGCGUGUUUCCAGAGGAUUCGAACUAGUUUGGCUCUACGUGGAGAGAAAAGACUAUAAUGUGCGGUAAAAUAGAUGCGAAGAGCUGAAUGUGUAUGCAACAGAGUCAUGUUCGGCUUGGAAAGACCAGAAAAAGCCAAAGGGAUAUGUUACAUUCAAUUAAAAACUUUUUAGUGUUUUCACAGUU